rnacentral:lncRNA from 1 species
CUCCAAGAGUGACUGUAUUUUUAUUCUCGAGUGCUGUAUCAGGAAUUUUCAGCACUAAGAAUUCAUAUUUCUUUUCAUUCCAUGAACCAGAAAAGGCUUACAAUUCUGUGAAAUGUAAUGUACAGGUCUAAUAGGAUUGUACUCUUGCCUGAUGUCACGGUAAUGAAUAAAUGAAAUAGAGAAUUGCUGACACAAUAGGAAACCGCUAGUUCAACGCAAAUAAGUCUCUGUAAAUAAAUCUGAAGUAAUUUCUCUACACAUCUUAGCUACUGCUUUAAGCUCUGCUCACAGUCAGGAGGUGGCAUGGCAUUAACAGAGGAAAAAAAAAAACAAACACAUAUAGCUACCUCCACUGUGUGUUACAGCAUAUUGCAGCUCAAGGUAGGAGUGACUUGAUGGUUCCACUCUAAAAUGCCUUGUUUAGUAACAAACUCCCCUUGCAGCCCACAUAUUAAAAAGUGCAAAAUGGCCCAUCCCAAUCAUGUAGAAGAAGAAUCUGUGAAGUGACGCAAUACUCCUGUGCACAGUUUCAAGGCUGCUGCAACAUGGCUGGCACCACCUUCGGUACAAGGAAGGGAAGCAACUCCUUGCCUCCACAGGGGGAGAAACUACUUCUGAACCAGAUUCUCAGCUGUACUGAUCCUAAGGAAAUGAGUGCCAUUCCUACCACACCUACGAAACCCACCAAUUCCAACUGCUAACUCACUGUCUGUGUUGCUGGGAUCGAAACCUGUAUGAAUGAAACACAGUUCAGACCUCACAAAAGCCUUCAGUCAGGGGGGCAGCCUUGAUA